rnacentral:rRNA from 1 species
UACGUAGGCAGCAAGCGUUGUUCGGAGUUACUGGGCGUAAAGGGUGUGUAGGCGGUUCUUUAAGUUUGGUGUGAAAUCUCCCGGCUCAACUGGGAGGGUGCGCCGAAUACUGAGGGACUAGAGUACGGGAGAGGAAAGUGGAAUUCCUGGUGUAGCGGUGGAAUGCGCAGAUAUCAGGAGGAACACCAAUGGCGAAGGCAGCUUGCUGGCAUGUUUCUGACGCUAAGGCACGAAAGCGUGGGGAGCGAACAGG